GUGAAGAACGCAGCGAAAUGCGAUAAGUAAUGUGAAUUGCAGAAUUCAGUGAAUCAUCGAAUCUUUGAACGCACAUUGCGCCCGCCAGUAUUCUGGCGGGCAUGCCUGUCCGAGCGUCAUUUCAACCCUCGAACCCCUCCGGGGGUCCGGCGUUGGGGAUCGGGAACCCCUAAGACGGGAUCCCGGCCCCGAAAUACAGUGGCGGUCUCGCCGCAGCCUCUCAUGCGCAGUAGUUUGCACAACUCGCACCGGGAGCGCGGCGCGUCCACGUCCGUAAAACACCCAACUUCUGAAAUGUUGACCUCGGAUCAGGUAGGAAUACCCGCUGAACUUAAGCAUAUCAAUAAGCGGAGGA
rnacentral:misc_RNA from 1 species